AACGAACGCUGGCGGCAUGCCUAACACAUGCAAGUCGAACGAGACCUUCGGGUCUAGUGGCGCACGGGUGCGUAACGCGUGGGAACCUGCCCUUAGGUUCGGAAUAACUCCCCGAAAGGGGUGCUAAUACCGGAUAAUGUCUUCGGACCAAAGAUUUAUCGCCUUUGGAUGGGCCCGCGUUGGAUUAGCUAGUUGGUAGGGUAAAAGCCUACCAAGGCGACGAUCCAUAGCUGGUCUGAGAGGAUGAUCAGCCACACUGGGACUGAGACACGGCCCAGACUCCCACGGGGGGCAGGAGUGGGGAAUUUUGGACAAGGGGCGAAAGCCUGAUCCAGCAAGGCCGGGGGAGUGAUGAAGGCCUUGGGGUUGUAAAGCUUUUUUACCCGGGAUGAUAAUGACAGUACCGGGAGAAGAAGCCCCGGCAAACCCCGU
rnacentral:rRNA from 1 species